ensembl:snoRNA SNORD21 Small nucleolar RNA SNORD21
GCUGAAUGAUGAUACAUCCCACUAACUGAGCAGUCAGUAGUUGGUCCUUUGGUUGCAUGUGAUGCAAUUAAUUGUUUCAAGACGGGACUGAUGGCAGC